UACGUAGGCAGCGAGCGUUGUUCGGAGUUACUGGGCGUAAAGGGUGUGUAGGCGGUUGUUUAAGUUUGGUGUGAAAUCUCCCGGCUCAACUGGGAGGGUGCGCCGAAUACUGAAGGACUUCGAGUGCGGGAGAGGAGAGUGGAAUUCCUGGUGUAGCGGUGAAAUGCGUAGAGAUCGGGAGGAACACCUGUGGCGAAGGCGGCCCCCUGGGCCGGCCCUGACACUGAGACGCGAAGGCGUGGGGAGCGAACGGG
rnacentral:rRNA from 1 species